rnacentral:tRNA from 1 species
UGCCCGGUGGCUCAGAGGUUAAAGCGUCUGCCUGGAAUGCGGGAGACCCAGGUUCGAUCCCUGGGUCAGCAA